AAACUUGGUAUGGUGCAUUACAUUGGUCUUACAAGGUUGUGAAAAAUUUGGGGACAUUUAAGGGAUGUCAAGAAACGAGGUGCUCCCAAAUGGACCCUUCUAGCCUACCCAAGCACUCUCCGUUGAACAUGAUAUUUUGUUUAGAAAUGACGCAUGACCACAACUUCUGCAAGCAGGUGGGAAUGCACAUGUUAGGCAUCCAUGCCUGGCUUGAAUGACUUCUGACAUCGUAUGCAUGUUGCUACAUGUUAACCAGAAAAUACAAAACUUGUAAAAAAACAAAAAACUUAGCAAGGUGACUUGAAUUGGUCGUGCAAGGCCAUGUAAAAAAAAGGUCAUUUCAAGGAUGUUGAGAAACAACGUGCUCCCAUAUGGGGCAUUUUGGCCUACACGAACAUCAUGCGUUCAAUACGGUCCUUUUUCGAACAUCCUUGAAAUGACCUCAUUUUUCUCAAGCAGGUGGGCAUGCCCUCAGUAGGCAUCUAUGUCAGGUUUGGAUGAAUUCUAACACCGUUUGCAUGUUGCCACACGUUUGGACAUUUAUCAACCUUUGCUCACAAGAAAAACUCCAGAAAGUGCAAAAUUGUCGAAAACUUGAACAAUUUGGCAUGGUUCGUUGAAUUGGUCAUAUGAGGCCAUGGAAAAAAAUGGGGCAUGUCGAAAAACAAUGUGCUCUCAUGUUAUAAAACAACUAAGCUGCUUGCGCCUUGCUGGGCCGGCCCAGUAGCGCAAACUCCUGUGACUGGCGUAUACUUUCCAGCAACGACCCGGAAGUGGGUACAAUUUGUCAAAAUAUUACCCUUUAUAUGUUUAGUAGAGAGGGUUGUAUCGAAAAGGGGCUUGUUUGAGUAUUAUAUUUCAAGCAUUACGUUGAGAGCUAUGCUCUUUGUGCUGAGGGAACGCUUCCUCCUUUCCUAUAGCUUGCAUGCUUAAGAUCUUCCUCAAGCAGCAGCAUGACAUCUAAAUCAUUGAAGGGUAAAUUAUUUCAUAUUCGUAAAACAAAUACUCUGUGCAAUAGAUUUGAUUUUACCAAAAGGACCAUGCACUACAAAACUGAUAUUAUAAACUCAUACAUCAUCUCAUGAGAAGACCAAAAAGAGUAAAAAUUCCUUAGACCAUGGACAGGCUACAAAGUGCAAGCACAAUUCGUUGUAGAUUUUCCGAGGCUAGUUCUUCACAAAGGUGCUUAGCACGUCUAAGUAGUUGGGGAAGGUCUUGUGGGAGGUCCCUGAUGGUGACCAGCACCUCGGUGCAGGCCAGCAGGGAGAAGGCCAUGGCCAUCCGGCGGUUGUCAUAGGUGUCGAUCGCCGUCCCGUUCAGGUCUUCCUCGAUGGCGUGAUGAUGCACUAGGCUUGGUCUUCCUCGAUUGGUGCUCCCGGUCAUAGGGCAUAGGAACGACAGGUCAAAUGAAAUGCCGAGGGGUGUUACUACCUUCGUUAGCUCAGUCCAGAUGGCACCCAUUCACACGUUUUCCUUCACUCUCCGAGAGGUAACUACAAAACAGAAUGAACAAGUCUCAAGACCAAAAUUUGCAAAAGAAACCAACAAACAUGUAAGAAGGUUAUUACUACACAAAAUAACCUAUCCCGACACAUAAUACUUUCCAGUCCUCUA